AACGAACGCUGGCGGCAUGCCUAACACAUGCAAGUCGAACGAGACCUUCGGGUCUAGUGGCGCACGGGUGCGUAACGCGUGGGAACCUGCCCUUAGGCUCGGAAUAACUCCCCGAAAGGGGUGCUAAUACCGGAUAAUGUCUUCGGACCAAAGAUUUAUCGCCUUUGGAUGGGCCCGCGUUGGAUUAGCUAGUUGGUAGGGUAAAAGCUUACCAAGGCGACGAUCCAUAGCUGGUCUGAGAGGAUGAUCAGCCACACUGGGACUGAGACACGGCCCAGACUCCUACGGGAGGCAGCAGUGGGGAAUAUUGGACAAUGGGCGAAAGCCUGAUCCAGCAAUGCCGCGUGAGUGAUGAAGGCCUUAGGGUUGUAAAGCUCUUUUACCCGGGAUGAUAAUGACAGUACCGGGAGAAUAAGCUCCGGCUAACUCCGUG
rnacentral:rRNA from 1 species